CGGAAACCCCUCAUUUCAAGGCAUGAGGGCUUUAAAACUCCCCAAAGGAGAUUGCCGAGUGCUCCCCCGAGUAGGAGGUGUCCUGGAGAGGUUUGUGAGCAGAAGCCUAGGCUCAGGGUAACUCCAUGAAUAUUUCUUUUUCUUUCUUUCUCUUGAGAUCCUGUGGCCUGUAAUCUAAGUGCUUCAAGACUGCUGUGUACAAUAUAAGCAGCUCAUAUAUUUCUGUACAUUGACAAAUGGAACAUACAGCACAAUUAAUGGAGGAGGAAGGUCUUGGCCCUCCGGAUGGGCAGCAGCCCCCAGUGGCACUGCUUCCCCUCUGCCUGUGGUGUGCGCAGUGUUUGUAAACACUAACCUCCUGACGUGUUUUCCAAUGGGAAACCAGGAGAACACCUGCACGCUGACCAUGGUGGAGCUUGGUGCCACUUGGGCUAAACAGGAAGGGGUCCCUGGGGUGAAGCGUGCUUUCCAUCAAACCUCCUCUCCUCAGGUAAAGCCAGUGGUGCCCCGGUGGGCAUUUGCCCUUCCCUGGCUUGCAAACAGCCGCAGCUGCUUAGACCUCAGCAGAUCUUGAUCCUGAGGAAGGACACCAACCAUCAGAGCUGAGCAACAAACUUCACUUGGUGCCACUGGAACCAUGCUCAUCUGGGUCUUGGGUCCCAGCUCAUGGGAAAC
rnacentral:lncRNA from 12 species